rnacentral:lncRNA from 1 species
GGGGCAAGCAGAGUGGUUGGUCCUGGAUGGCGGGUCCCAGGUGCCCAAUGUGGCUGGAGACAACAGGGUGUCAAAAAGAAAAAGUGCCCCUCUGCCCUCCAGGCUGUUCUAGGAGCCCCUUGUCUCUGGAGACACCCCGCCCACUCUGGCUCCUCCUCCUUCAAGACCUGCCCUUGUGCUGCCUGUCCCCAGAAGCUGCCAGGUCAUUGUGCCCUAGUAGGUUUUCUCAAAAAGGAGCCAUGUGCUGCCCCAUGGGGGUACCUGGUCACAGUAAAGGGAGUCCUGGCCACCUAGUUCCAGGCCUUCUUGCCAGCGCCCUUGGGGAAAGAGUGGCCGGGCUGCUGGCCAAGGAGGCUGGAGGCUGGGGGCUGGCCAUUUAUGAAGACUGCGGCGUGUGCAUUAGGAGCCUGAAGUAGGGUAUCGAGGGUGCUCUGUCCCUGGGUCUGGGAAUUUUGCCUGGCUGGUGGAGCCUGAAGGAUGCCAGUGUCCCUGCCUUCCCUGCUGCCUGGGUGGUGGGAGUUACACACUCUACGAGCCCCAGCUCUGGCCUCCGGGUCUCCCCUGCCUCCCCUGUGUCGGUACAAUCUUUGCUCUGCACAAUCGGCCACUUUACACAAUAAAACAUCCCUCCCUGUGCUGUUGUAAAAAAAAAAAAAAAAA